rnacentral:rRNA from 1 species
GACGAACGCUGGCGGCGUGCCUAAUACAUGCAAGUCGAGCGGACUGAAUGGGAGCUUGCUCUUGUUCGGUCAGCGGCGGACGGGUGAGUAACACGUGGGCAACCUGCCCGCAAGACCGGGAUAACUCCGGGAAACCGGAGCUAAUACCGGAUAACACCGAAGACCGCAUGGUCUUUGGUUGAAAGGCGGCGCAAGCUGCCACUUGCGGAUGGGCCCGCGGCGCAUUAGCUAGUUGGGGAGGGAACGGCUCACCAAGGCGACGAUGCGUAGCCGGCCUGAGAGGGUGACCGGCCACACUGGGACUGAGACACGGCCCAGACUCCUACGGGAGGCAGCAGUAGGGAAUCUUCCGCAAUGGGCGAAAGCCUGACGGAGCGACGCCGCGUGAGCGAAGAAGGCCUUCGGGUCGUAAAGCUCUGUUGUGAGGGACGAAGGAGCGCCGUUUGAAGAAGGCGGCGCGGUGACGGUACCUCACGAGGAAGCCCCGGCUAACUACGUG